UUCCAUACUUAUAGAGGAAGGCAGGGCAAGACAAAAGGAGCUUUGGGCAGCCAUGCAAGGUCAUACAGCUUCCCAUGGCAGAGCUGGAAUGGAGCACGGUCCCUGCAUAUGGCUGGUGGCCUCUACUCUCCUCCAUGGUCCUGUUGAAACAAGCAGGUUGUCUGUGCAAACCAGGACGGCCUCAUCAUCCAGGAGUGUGGCUCCACUGCUCAUGGCUGUUUGAACUUGGGCACUGCCUCGUCGGUAAACUGGAGUUGUUCUGAAGAUGAAUAAGAUCAGCUACAUACAUGUGUUUGGUUCUGUGAGUCCAAGUCAGCCAGUGAUUGUCUUAUUGUCCUCAUCAAAGCAAUGGGAACAAAGGCCUUCUAGAAACCAGUUCAGGACAAACGCCCCUGGACAUCAAAGUCCCUUUGUGUCUAAGUGAGAGAAGCCCCCAGAAACCCAUCAGAACCAGGGCUACCAGCAGCACGCAGUCACGUGGGUGGAUAUUGGUAUCACCCACCUGCAAGGCUUGAUUCGUGCUUCUGAAGGUGGCAAAAUGCUCCUGGCCCACACAGAAGUCCCUCAGGGAGUGUUGAAUGGCCACUGUUGGGUCGGGAUGAGGCUGAAGGAGGGCCCUGGAACAACUCUCAUCCCCAAACUCCACAAGUCUCCUAUGGGUCUGUGUCCAGCAGAAUGUCUCAUGCCCCUUGGGAUGCAGUGUGUAUGCCAUGCUGGUGAAGCUCAGAGCGAGGUUGGGGCUCUCACCUCUUCAUGGUCUGCUCUUUGGGGCUGGAUAGUACUCCUUUUGCAGGAGACGGGGUGAGGCUAUUUUCUUCUUGAGAGUAGAAGCAGCUGAUUCCUUCACUGCUUCCCCAAUCCCA
rnacentral:lncRNA from 1 species